GACGAACGCUGGCGGCGUGCUUAACACAUGCAAGUCGAGCGGAAAGGCCCUUUCGGGGGUACUCGAGCGGCGAACGGGUGAGUAACACGUGAGUAAUCUGCCCUGGACUCUGGGAUAGCCACCGGAAACGGUGAUUAAUACCGGAUAUGACACCUUGCUGCAUGGUGGGGUGUGGAAAGUUUUUUCGGUCCAGGAUGUGCUCGCGGCCUAUCAGCUUGUUGGUGAGGUAAUGGCUCACCAAGGCUUUGACGGGUAGCCGGCCUGAGAGGGGUGACCGGUCACACUGGGACUGAGACACGGCCCAGACUCCUACGGGAGGCAGCAGUGGGGAAUAUUGGACAAUGGGCGGAAGCCUGAUCCAGCAACGCCGCGUGAGGGAUGACGGCCUUCGGGUUGUAAACCUCUUUCAGUACCGACGAAGCGAAAGUGACGGUAGGUACAGAAGAAGGACCGGCCAACUACGUGCCAGCAGCCGCGGUAACAC
rnacentral:rRNA from 1 species